CCUGCGGGCAGAGAGAGCGAGAAAGAGGUCUGUGUACAUGGGGGAAGACAAAUAAAAUACUGUCAGUUCUGCACUUACCUGUUAGGAAGUGGUACCAGUUUUUCAAUGUUCUGCUUGACAGCUUUUUCUGCCAGUAGCAUUUUUUUGGUUGUUGUUUUUAAUAACUGUUACAAGGUCAUUGCGGCACAUGCUCAGACAAAACACUGCAUAGCGCUUGGAUGGUGUUUCUUUGUACCUGUUGUCAUUUAUUAGUUUUCAAAGUGUUCUUUCUCUGAUCAUCUGUGUCUUUGGGAAGAAUGCGGUUUUAUUUUGGUUUGUGCUCUUACAUUUCUUCUGUCUUUCCCUUUACUUUGAAAAACAAACAAAAUAAAUAGAACCUAUAGCCAUAUUAGAUCAGGCAAUACCCAGAAGAGAUCAGAUUCUUGUUUGUACUUUACAAAAAAAGAAAAUGUAUGCAUAAUAAUAUAUUUCGUGUUAUUUUUGGUAGAUUUCCUCUUACAGAAGCUAUUUUUAAGUAAAAUGUGAAUGGAUCUUUUUAUGGUAAUUAAGAUAUGUUGGGCUUUCUUAAAAAUCAAAUUCCAGUGGAAUUAAAUGAUGAAUGUAAAUGAGAAAAACCCAAGCCUAGUCAUGAAAGUGUAAGCAGUUUCAGAUUGUAAAUUACGCUUUAAAAUGUGGUAUCUGACCAUUUUGUAUUUAUAUGUAAAUAUAAAUACAUGUUGCUGCAUCACUAAUGGCAUUAAAGAGGGGUGGCUGAAGUGUUGGAUGUCUGGAAGUUGUGCCUGCGUGGAGCGUGUUCCGCAGGGCGCGGCGGUGCUGCCGGAGCAGCAGCGCUGCAGGAACACGUCAGGGAGCGGAGCUGGCUGUUCCCAGGCAGGAGAUGGAGCAGGAGCAGGGCACCAGGCUCCCCAGUGCCAUCCUCUGCUGCGAGUCCUGACACCGUGUGUGACAUCCCAGGAACCGUGCCUUACACGAAUGCUGGGAGGGAGCAGAAGCUGCAGCCUGGCUGUUUCCCCACGGCAGGGAGUGUUCUGGUGGGGCAGCUCUCUCUGUGUCACCUUGUUAACCUCAUCCAAUGCCUGAGCUCUGCUCCCAACAGCAGCACAGAAGCUGUUUGAUUCUUACUCCUCUAGGCUGAGCCACAUUGCCCCACAGGUCACUGUAGCAAUGCCAUUCGGAAAUAGCAGGUUUUUGAAGCCAGGAAGAGGAUGCUUCACUAGCAGGAAGAUGUGAAUGUAGCAGGAAAAGGAGGCAGAAAAUAGAAGAAAGGUUUUUUUUUAUAACUUUGAAACUGCCAGGGCUUCAUCAGGGUAUCUCCAAGUUCUCACCACCAGUACCCCCAAGCAAAGAAAAGGUAUGAAAUACCUGUAAAAAAAAAAAAUUCAUAAAAGGGAUAAUUACUUUAACAAAUUUAUUAUCUCCCUGAAUGAGCUACCAAAUAAAACCUGUGCUUUGGAUCCCUUGCUUCUGAAAUCGCUUACUGUUGGAAUAACUUUGUUGGGAUGGGGAAGUACAAGAUCUUAAACUUACAGCACUGGCUUAAGAACCUGGAGUGCUGUUGUUGGCAGGCCAGCAGUAAACCCAUUGCCAAAACCUUUGCCAUUUUCAGUUCUUUGCCUACUAUAACUCUCCUCAGCCACUGUUUAUUUGCUCUCGGUCCCACAGUCCCCUUCCUGUCCCUUUGCUUGCUGCCCUGCUUUUCCCCUGCUGCCUUGCCUCGCUAUUCUGUACCUGCUGUGCCUCUGUCAAAAGUUGAUCUGAAUUUUGUAUUAAUCCUGCAAAUGUUUGUGGCCUUCAGUGCUCUUUUCCUGCUGUCAGCUUAACAGCUAUAGGGUAUCAGUCCUGGCAUGGGCCAAAAGAAAAUGAGACCCCUGAGCAGUGACUUGUGAUGAGCCUUAUGAAAAGGCUGUGGAAGGAUUCUCGUGCUUCACUGGGGCUUUUUCUCUGGUGCAACUUAAACACAAAUUUCACAAGCCCAGAUCUGUGGAAUUCUCAUCAAAUUUUACCAGAAGAUCUCUUUCAAGAGAGAAGAAAAUAAGCUGUAUUGUACAGUUUAUUUUUCUUUUUCUUCUUGCUUAGAAACAGGAUACUUCAUCAUGCUGAUUAAUAGUUUCUUAAAUUAUGAAUGCUGCUGCGAAAAACUGUGAGCAAACAAUGCGUGCAUUCACUUUUAAAGCCCAACUGCAUUGCUCUGAGAUGUCUGAUUUUUUUCAGCUUCUAUCUGAAUUCCUUGGCAUUGAUCUUUCUUUUUUAAUUCAAACUGCCAAGUGCUUAAGAUACCCCCUUAUAUUCUUCAGACCCUUUUGUUCUGGAGAACUGAGUAUUUGGUAGUGUGUACAGUGAGUGAAAAAUGAGCUGUGUGUGCCCUUGUGCAGCGCAGUGAGGUUUGUCUUUCGGGGGGCGGGAGGGGACGUCUGCAAAACUGUUGUUUUCCUGGGAUGACUAAUUGCUCAUUUUUACACUUUGAAAAGAUGCUUGUUGACUCAAAGGAGAUGCA